rnacentral:misc_RNA from 1 species
AAGUCGUAACAAGGUUUGGAUCAGCAAAUAAAUUAAUGAUCUUUCUGCCUUUUACAUAUUGUUAAUUAAUUUUAAUUAUGUGUAAGAGUCGGUUCAUUUGCUGAAGCCUUAGCAGCCAAAAUGUUAAAGUUUUGGUGCCCAGAGCGACUUUCAACAACGGAUCUCUUGGCUCUC